GCUUGAUGAUGAUACCUCUUGAGACUGAGCAAUUUGUAGUUGGUCCUUCAUUUGCUCAACUGAUGUGAUUGCGUUUCAAGACGGGGCUGAGAGCAAC